GAAGAGAGAGCGUGAAAAAAUGCAUCAAGAUAACAUGGAGGUACAGAAAUCACUACUUGCCGUCCUGCAGAAUUUUGCAAAUAAAAAAAAUACGCAAACCAACCUGGGCGAGGCUGGAUUAAGAUGCGCGAAAAAUGUGCCUGAUAGAGUCAUAUUUAAAUGCACAGGGUAUUACUUAUUAAUUCUCGCCCACUAAAUAGAUAGCGUUAUUUCUUAUCAAAAAUAAGUUGAAAAGUCCUGAAUAAUUUUAAAUAAAAUAAUAAUUUGAAUAAUUUUUAAUAAUUUUAUAAACCCGGCGCUGUUUGAUCGUACUUUACUCAAUAAUUACUAGUUCAUUAAGUGUAAAAAUUCUUUAGGACUUUUCAACUUAUUUUUGGUAAGGAAUAACGCUAUGUACUUAGUGGACGAGAAUUGUACGCUUUUGAGAAGACUGAAAUAAAAAGUUAUUAAAUUCGUUAUAUUACCACGGUGAUUUUUUAGUUAUAAGCUUAUUAGUUUAAUAGUUUAUAGUUUAUUAGUUUAAUUAUUGGGUCUGUUUUUUGUUCCUGAACUGCUGCACUAGUUCAGAGGUUGUCUUUUGCUCGACACUGAUAAGAAAAGGACAACCUCUAAACUAGUGCAGCAGUUCAGGAACAAAAAACAGACCCAUUACCUCGUAUGUCCACCGAAAGAACCAAAGAUAAGAUCUCUCCCAUGCACGCGCGCGCGUGCACAGAGAGGGAGAGAGAGCAUACUACAGUUUUUAUGUGUUAAAUUGUACGAAAUAUGUUAUUAUUUUAACGGGUGCAUCCCGAUUUCAGAUGUACAAUUCUAAAAAAGAAUAAAAAGUAUUUUUAUACUUA